GCAAACUUGGUCAUUUAGAGGAAGUAAAAGUCGUAACAAGGUUUCCGUAGGUGAACCUGCGGAAGGAUCAUUAGAGAAACGGCCAUUGGCCUUUGCUCUUUAUUCACAUCGUGUGGACUGUUGAUCGGUGGGAAAGGCUUUUUUUCCUAGCCCGAGGGGUGGGCCGAAAAGGCCCCACCCGAAUCAUCCUUGUCAAUCACACCGUGAAUGGGAACGCCCCGAUGGGCGAUUGAAGGAAUACAACUUUCAGCAACGGAUCUCUAGGCUCUCGCAUCGAUGAAGAACGCAGC
rnacentral:misc_RNA from 1 species